rnacentral:rRNA from 1 species
CUACGGGGUGCUGCAGUGAGGAAUAUUGCACAAUGGGGGGAACCCUGAUGCAGCAACGCCGCGUGGAGGAUGACGCAUUUCGGUGUGUAAACUCCUUUUAUAUGUCAAGAAAAUGACGGUAGCAUAUGAAUAGGCACCGGCUAACUCCGUGCCAGCAGCCGCGGUAAUACGGAGGGUGCAAGCGUUAGUCGGAAUCACUGGGCGUAAAGGACGCGUAGGCGGGUUGGAAAGUCAGGUGUGAAAUCCUACAGCUUAACUGUAGAACUGCACUUGAAACUUCUAAUCUAGAGUAUGGGAGGGGGAGAUGGAAUUAGUGGUGUAGGGGUAAAAUCCGUAGAUAUCACUAGGAAUACCUAAAGCGAAGGCGAUCUCCUGGAACAUUACUGACGCUAAGGCGUGAAAGCGUGGGGAGCAAACAGGAUUAGAUACCCUCGUAGUC